AAUUACCCAUGGAAUAUUUCAACGGAUAUGCUCUAGUUUUCUUGUUUUUGAUGUUUUGUUCUUUUUUGGGUACUUCUUUCUUUUUGUUGAUGUUUAAAAUCAAAUUAACUUCUUUUAUUGACUAUUAAGUAAAUAUUUGAUUUAGUGGUUUAAAUAUAAGCAUAAUUUUUUUAAAAUCCUAAAUUUCUUGAUUUCUGUGCCUAAAGCUGAUCAUGUCUAAAUACUGUACCACUCUGUUACUCCUCAAAAGAAGGCACAUGAGGUGGAUGUCUUUUUCCAGAGGCUUAAUCUGGAAGAGCUAACUUCUCUGCACAGAAACUUCAAAUGGUCAUGAAAACUCCCUCCAAUAAAGUAGAAAAAAGACUUGCAAAAUAUGUUGAGAAUUUCCACUGUGUGGAUAAAUGUGGAAGGAAACCAAAGAAAGUGUCUUUGACAGCUGCUCCACCUACAUGCAGAUGGGAGAGGAGGUUGCUCCCUUAUGAUUCUUUUGAACGUCAAUCCUAUAACCUUAAAACCAUCACUACAGCACUGGACAUUUAAUUUUGAGACUUGGGAGUGUCUGUCUCUGAAGCUCCUCCAAGGCCUCAGCAGAAAUAUGAAGAGGCAUUUCAGAGUUAAGAUGAAACCUAUUCUGAAAUUCAGUUUUAUGGAAGACACAAACCAAGGAAUACAGGCAAGAUUUGGACAUUUGAGUCAAGCAGAUUUGACACUGAUGGCUAGCCUUGGAAAAACUCUUCACUGAGGCUGGAGACCUGUCAUGAACUGCAGCCACAAAACAGCCCUUGCCAGCUGCCUGCUCCUUAUACCACAGCUUCUGGUCCCCAAAGCCCCCAGCUGAGCAGAUUGAGGUAAAUGCAAAGAUUGACGAUAAUAAAUUCAAGCUUUCCAAGUGAGUGAGUGAGUGA
rnacentral:lncRNA from 1 species